GCAGAUCCAAUUUUCUGCCACCGAAUACAUUAGCAUGGGAUAAUGGAAUAGGACCCUGUCCUCCUAUUUUCAGUUGGUUUUGGCAGCGCGAGGACUAGGGUAAUGAUUAAUAGGGAUAGUUGGGGGCAUUAAUAUUUAAUUGUCAGAGGUGAAAUUCUUGGAUUUAUGAAAGAUUAACUUCUGCGAAAGCAUCUGCCAAGGAUGUUUUCAUUAAUCAAGAACGAAAGUUAGGGGAUCGAAGACGAUCAGAUACCGUCGUAGUCUUAACCAUAAACGAUGCCGACCAGCGAUUAGGAGACGUUGAAUACAAAACACCACCAUCGGUGCGGUCGUCCUUGGCGUCGGUCUUUCGGGGCCGGCGCGGGGACGGCUUAGCCCGGUGGCACCGGUGAAUGACUCCCUAG
rnacentral:rRNA from 1 species